rnacentral:rRNA from 1 species
UCAUUAAGUUGGGCACUCUAAGUUGACUGCCGGUGACAAACCGGAGGAAGGUGGGGAUGACGUCAAAUCAUCAUGCCCCUUAUGAUUUGGGCUACACACGUGCUACAAUGGACAAUACAAAGGGCAGCGAAACCGCGAGGUCAAGCAAAUCCCAUAAAGUUGUUCUCAGUUCGGAUUGUAGUCUGCAACUCGACUACAUGAAGCUGGAAUCGCUAGUAAUCGUAGAUCAGCAUGCUACGGUGAAUACGUUCCCGGGUCUUGUACACACCGCCCGUCACACCACGAGAGUUUGUAACACCCGAAGCCGGUGGAGUAACCUUUUAGGAGCUAGCCGUCGAAGGUGGGACAAAUGAUUGGGGUGAAGUCGUAACAAGGUAGCCGUAUCGGAAGGUGCGGCUGGAUCACCUCCUUUCUAAGGA